rnacentral:rRNA from 1 species
UUUUUUAAGAGUUUGAUCCUGGCUCAGGAUGAACGCUGGCGGUGUGGAUAAGGCAUGCAAGUCGAGCGAUUAUAUUUAUAUAAUAGCGGCAGACGGGUUAGUAACACGUAGGUAGCUACCUCUCACUCAGGAAUAAGCCACUGAAAAGUGGUCUAAUGCCCGAUAGUCCCGCAAGGGUAAAGAUUUAUCGGUGAGAGAGGCGCCUGCGGCCUAUCAGCUAGUAGGUAGGGUAAUGGCCUACCUAGGCUAUGACGGGUAGGGGGUGUGAGAGCAUGAUCCCCAACAAGGGCACUGAGAUACUGGCCCUACUCCUACGGGAGGCUGCAGUCGAGAAUCUUCCGCAAUGCACGAAAGUGUGACGGAGCGACACCGCGUGUAGGAUGAAGGCCUUCGGGUUGUAAACUACUUUUAUAGGGGAAGAACUUUUUUGUGACGGUACCUUAUGAAUAAGGGGCUGCUAAUCACGUGCCAGCAGCAGCGGUAAUACGUGAGCCCCAAGCGUUAUCCGGAAUUAUUGGGCGUAAAGCGUUCGUAGGCUGUUUUGUUAGUCUUGUGUUAAAUAUCUGGGCUCAACCCAGUUGUUGCGCAGGAAACGGCAAGACUAGAAGGUGUGAGAGGUCUGUGGAACUCAUGGUGUAGGGGUGAAAUCCGUUGAUAUCAUGGGGAACACCAAAGGCGAAGGCAGCAGACUGGCGCAACCUUGACGCUGAGGAACGAAAGCUAGGGUAGCGAACGGGAUUAGAUACCCCGGUAGUCCUAGCCGUAAACUUUGGAUACUAGCUGUUUGAAGUGUCGACCCUUCAAGUGGCGAAGCUAACGCGUUAAGUAUCCCGCCUGGGAAGUACGAUCGCAAGAUUAAAACUCAAAGGAAUAGACGGGGUUUCGCACAAGCGGUGGAGCAUGCGGUUUAAUUCGAUGGCAAACGGAGAACCUUACCAGGGCUUGAAAUCCAGACGAAAACUCUCUGAAAGGAGAGUCCUCUUCGGACGGCUGGACAGGUGUUGCAUGGCUGUCGUCAGUUUGUGCUGUGAGGCGCUCUCUUAAUUGAGGUAACAAACGCAACCCUCAUCGUGUGUUAUACGUGUCACACGAGACUGCCGCGCACAACGCGGAGGAAGGCGAGGAUGACGCCAAGUCAGCAUGGCCCUUUGACGCCCUGGGCUACACGCAUGCUACAAUGGCCGGUACAAUGAGUUGCCAAGCGGUAACGUGGAGCUAAUCUCAUCAAAACCGGUCUCAGUUCGGAUUGAGGUCUGCAAUUCGACCUCAUGAAGUUGGAAUCGCUAGUAAUCGCAGGUCAGCUAUACUGCGGUGAAUACGUUCUCGAAACUUGUACUCACAAAUAAAAUGCGCCCGGCAGAUUAUUUUUCCCCGAUGUUCGUUAAUCGAAAUCGGGAUCCCGACUAAAACGUCGGGGCCAGAUGGUUAAAGU